UGUAAAUAAUGACAGGAGAAUUUCUCCAUGGCAAAGCCUUAAUCGCAAAGGAAGAGCGUCGCUUUCCGUUCUCUCUCUUUCUCUCCGUCUCUUUUGUGCGUAAAAAUUAGUCCAGAAGAGAGAGAAGAAAAGGGAAGAAGAAGAAUGGGAGAUUUAUCAAACAAGAUCGGAAGAGAUGGGCUGAAGCCAGGGGAUCACAUCUGCUCUGCACUUGGAGGUCUGCUUAUAUAUACUCUCAUCAUGGUCUG
rnacentral:misc_RNA from 1 species